GAUGAACGCUAGCGAUAGGCUUAACACAUGCAAGUCGAGGGGCAGCACAAGGUAGCUUGCUAUCUGGGUGGCGACCGGCGCACGGGUGCGUAACGCGUAUGCAACUUGCCCUAUACAGGAGGAUAACCCGUCGAAAGACGGACUAAUACUGCGUAUGCUCACAACUUGGCAUCAAGUGGUGAGGAAAGAAAUUCGGUAUAGGAUAGGCAUGCGUCCCAUUAGCUUGUUGGUGAGGUAACGGCUCACCAAGGCAACGAUGGGUAGGGGAACUGAGAGGUUUAUCCCCCACAAUGGUACUGAGACACGGACCAGACUCCUACGGGAGGCAGCAGUGAGGAAUAUUGAGCAAUGGGCGCGAGCCUGAACCAGCCAAGUCGCGUGAAGGAUGACUGUCUUAUGGAUUGUAAACUUCUUUUAUACGGGAAUAACAAGAGUCACGUGUGACUCCCUGCAUGUACCGUAUGAAUAAGCAUCGGCUAACUCCGUG
rnacentral:rRNA from 1 species